rnacentral:rRNA from 1 species
AGCCCGGUGCAAGCGGGGUACCAGCCACUUUGGCAAAUCCGGGUGGCAAUGGGAAGCCGUGAUGCGGAGUGAAAUAAAGUAGCGAAGUCCGUGAGCCAUGCGUCAAGAAAAGCCGCCAUUGUUUAUACCGUACCCGUACCGUAAACCGUCACAGGUGGAUGAGGAGAGAAUCCUAAGGCCGGCGGAAGAAGCAUUGUCAAGGAACUCGGCAAAAUGGCCCCGUAACUUAGGGAUAAGGGGUGCCUGGGAAACCAGGCCGCAGAGAAUAGGCUCAAGCAACUGUUUAGCAAAAACACAGGUCUAUGCGAAACCGAAAGGUGAGGUAUAUGGGCUGACGCCUGCCCGGUGCUGGAAGGUUAAGAGGAGAGGUUAGCGCAAGCGAAGCUUUGAAUUUAAGCCCCAGUAAACGGCGGCCGUAACAAUAACGGUCCUAAGGUAGCGAAAUUCCUUGUCGGGUAUGUUCCGACCCGCACGAAAGGCGUAAUGAUUUGAGCGCUGUCUCGACAAUGCAUCCGGUGAAAUUGAAGUACCAGUGAAGAUGCUGGUUACCUGCGCCAGGACGGAAAGACCCCAUGGAGCUUUACUCCAGUCUGGUACUGGGACUCGGUAUUGCAUGUACAGGAUAGGUGGGAGGCUAGGAGAUGGUAACGCCAGUUGCCAUGGAGCCGCUGUUGGGAUACCACCCUUGCAGUAUUGGGUUUCUAACCAGCCGCCGUGACCCGGCGGUGGGACAAUGCCAGACGGGGAGUUUGACUGGGGCGGUCGCCUCCGAAAGGGUAUCGGAGGCGCCCAAAGGUUCCCUCAGAAUGGACGGAAACCAUUCGAAGAGUGCAAAGGCAGAAGGGAGCUUGACUGCGACACCGACGGGUGGAGCAGGUACGAAAGUAGGGCUUAGUGAUCCGGUGGUAUUAAGUGGGAAUGCCAUCGCUCAACGGAUAAAAGCUACCCUGGGAUAACAGGCUUAUCACUCCCAAGAGUUCACAUCGACGGAGUGGUUUGGCACCUCGAUGUCGGCUCAUCGCAUCCUGGGGCUGUAGUAGGUCCCAAGGGUUGGGCUGUUCGCCCAUUAAAGCGGUACGCGAGCUGGGUUCAGAACGUCGUAAGACAGUACGGUCCCUAUCCGGCGUGGGCGUAGGAUAUCUGAGAGGAGCUGUCCUUAGUACGAGAGGGCCGGGAUGGACGGGCCGCUGGUGCAUCGGUUAGACUGCCAAGUCUACGGCCGAGUAGCCAAGCCCGGAAGGGAUAAACGCUGAAGGCAUCUAAGCGUGAAGCCCCCCUUAAGAUGAGAUAUCCCAUUCGAAAGAAGUAAACCCCCUUGAAGACGACGAGGUAGAUAGGGCAGAGGUGGAAGUGCAGCAAUGCAUGGAGCUGACUGUUACUAAUCGGGUGAGGGCUUGAUC